rnacentral:rRNA from 1 species
AACGAACGCUGGCGGCAGGCCUAACACAUGCAAGUCGAGCGAGGACUUCGGUCCUAGCAGCGGACGGGUGAGUAACACGUGGGAACGUGCCCUUUGCUUCGGAAUAGCCCUGGGAAACUGGGAGUAAUACCGGAUGAGCCCUUUGGGGGAAAGAUUUAUCGGCGAAGGAUCGGCCCGCGUUGGAUUAGGUAGUUGGUGGGGUAAUGGCCUACCAAGCCGACGAUCCAUAGCUGGUUUGAGAGGAUGAUCAGCCACACUGGGGCUGAGACACGGCCCAGACUCCUACGGGAGGCAGCAGUGGGGAAUCUUAGACAAUGGGGGAAACCCUGAUCUAGCCAUGCCGCGUGAGCGAUGAAGGCCUUAGGGUUGUAAAGCUCUUUCAGCUGGGAAGAUAAUGACGGUACCAGCAGAAGAAGCCCCGGCUAACUCCGUG